AAUGAACGUUGGCGGCGUGGAUUAGGCAUGCAAGUCGAGCGAGAACCCCGCAAGGGGGGACAGCGGCGAAAGGGACAGUAAUGUGUAGAUUAUCUGCCCUCAGGUCCGGGAUAGCUGCGGGAAACUGCAGGUAAUACCGGAUAACAUCUCCGGAUCAAAGGUGUGAUUCCGCCUGAGGAUGAGUCUGCAUCCUAUUAGCUAGUUGGUGGGGUAAUGGCCUACCAAGGCAUUGAUGGGUAGCAGGUGUGAGAGCACGACCUGCGUCAUUGGGACUGAGACACUGCCCAGACACCUACGGGUGGCUGCAGUCGAGAAUCUUCGGCAAUGGGCGCAAGCCUGACCGAGCGACGCCGCGUGUGGGAUGAAGGCCUUCGGGUGGUAAACCACUGUCAGAGGGGAUGAAAUGCAGGUGGGUUCUCCCAUCUGUUUGACAUAGCCUCAGAGGAAGGACGGGCUAAGUUCGU
rnacentral:rRNA from 1 species